UCCGACUUAACGUCGGCAGUCUGUCUAGAGUGCCCAACUGAAUGCUGGCAACUAAACAUAAGGGUUGCGCUCGUUACGGGACUUAACCCGACAUCUCACGACACGAGCUGACGACGGCCAUGCAACACCUGUCACUGCGUUCCCGAAGGCACAGUCUCCUUUCGGAGUCCUUCGCAGGAUGUCAAACCUUGGUAAGGUUGUCGUUUACCAUCGAAUUAAACCACACGCUCCACCGCUUGUGCGGGUCCCCGUCAAUUCCUUUGAGUUUUAAACUUGCGUUCGUACUACUCAGGCGGGAUGCUUAACGCGUUAGCUUCGCUUCGGAGGGGGUCGAUUCCCCCCAAUAGCUAGCAUCCAUAGUUUACGGCGUGGACUAC
rnacentral:misc_RNA from 1 species